rnacentral:lncRNA from 1 species
UUUGAGAGUAAUAAUUAAUCAAUGAUAUAGUUAAAUAGUAAAUAAUUUAUGAUUUUAUUUAUGCAAUACACCUAAGAUCAUGUUUAUGAUAUAUUGAUGAUAUUGCAUGCAUGAUUGACUUUAUGACUUACUUUAUCAUAUAUAAUACUAUGAAAUAUUCUAUCUAGUAAUAAUUGUUAUUUUUACUUUAUGAUGCUUUGAUUCAUGCAAAAACUUAUGUUUGAUCUAGUAAGGUAGUGAAAUGUUUACUUACUGAGCUAUGCUCACAUAUUUUUAUUUUUAUUUUUUCUUUAGACAAAUAAGAUUGAUAGGAAAGAAGGAUGGUCCAGGCUUGGAGUUCACGCUAGCAAGUUUGGUGAUUUGUAUAAGAAUUUUAGUAUUCUAAUUGACUAUGAAUUUGUAGUUAAUGAUUUUCUGAAUAUUGAGGAUUAUAGGUUUGGUUUUGGAUUUAGACGGUCUGAACCAAUAUUGGUUUUAUUUAAUGAAUGAUAAAAUUAGACUUUUAAAUAUUAUAUUUUGUUUGUGAUGGAUUUGGAAGCUAAGAUGUAAUGGUUGAUUUCGUGUUAUCAUGGGUUGUACUCCUCAAUAGCAUGGCCUAUUAUGCCCCGAAUUUGGGACGUGACAAAGGAAGCUUGGG